UACGGGGGGGGCAAGCGUUGUUCGGAAUUACUGGGCGUAAAGGGCUCGUAGGCGGCCAACUAAGUCGGAUGUGAAAUCCCCAGGCUUAACCUGGGAACUGCAUCCGAUACUGGAUGGCUUGAAUCCGGGAGAGGGAUGCAGAAUUCCAGGUGUAGCGGUGAAAUGCGUAGAUAUCUGGAGGAACACCGGUGGCGAAGGCGGCGUUCUGGACUGCAACUGACACUGAGAGACGAAAGCCAGGGGAGCAAACGGG
rnacentral:rRNA from 1 species